rnacentral:sRNA from 1 species
AAGGACUAAACCAAAAAUGAGAAAGAAAUUAGCAAAAGUAAAAGUUCACAUUCAGUCUUUGGAUUCAUUGCUUUCAUCAAUGACGAUGCCGAUUAUUGGCAUCUUUAUUGCUUGGGGACUUUUAGCUUCUUUUUUUAUUCCAUCUGGUUGAACACCUGAUAAAAACCUAGCUUUAAUGGUGGAAUAGGAAUCCAAUAUGUGAUUCCGACCAUAAUUGUUUUUUUGGUGGUAAAAAGAUUUAUGAAAUACGUGGUGGUGUGAUUGCUGUCAUUAUUGCCAUUGCUGUAAUAGCUGCUGGUCAAACCGAAGCAUUUACAAAAAUUGUUGGUCAAAAAUCAGUAAUGUUUUUAGGUGUGAUGAUAUUC